UCGUCUGAAGGGGUCUGAAGAACGAAAGGGGCUGCUCUGAAGAACGAAAAUCCCUUGUCCCUAGCUCUCACGAUCUCUGUUCGUCUCUUUACUGCCGAUGGCCAUUCUCGACGACGGUCGUUCUAUCGACGACCGUUCAACCGAAAAACAGAGCGAAAAAUCCCUCCCUCUCUCGAUGGCUGUUCGACCGACGACGACGACAACGUCUCUCCUGGUAAGUAACAUUCUCUAUUUCUCGAAUUUCUCCUAUUUCAUUGUUAAGAUAGUGAUAGUGUCGGUAAGUAACGGUUGAAGUUUGUUGUUGUCAUAAAGAAGAGGCUUAGAGAAACCAUUAUUAAAAUUUAUAAGGUUAAGAAAGAGAAAGAACAUAAGUGUUGUUGGACAGUUCACCGGCCUUGUCUUGCUCUAAUCUACCAUAAUGUUGUGCUUUGCAACAAACAUAAACACUUAACAACUUGAUGUGUUUCUUAAAUCAAAAUUUCUCGUAUGUAUGAUUGUUUAGGUUUUGUGUAGAACUGAUUUGUGAACUUUUUGUUGCUUGUCAUUAUGUUUUCUAUAAUGAAAGUUUCCUAAAGAAAGUUGCCAGCAAUUUGAAUUUUUUGUUGCUUGUCGGUUGUGUUUGCGAAGUCAUAUUUUUGCGCCUGCCCGAUAUCAACCUUCCUUUGUCUGCUGAGCGCAAGUCACCGCAACAAUGGACUGGCUGGAAAUUUCAUGGGAUGAAUUACAUAUAAAGGAGCAUGUUGGAGCUAGUAAUUUCACAUCUUGUCAUAUCUGCUCGUAUUAAAUUUAUAAACAGAUGGCCGAUUCUGAACUUUUCCCUUUAAUGUUCUUUCAUGCUCAUUUGGUACAGUGCAUCAUGCUGAAUGGCAUGGAUCGAUGGAAUGCUAGUUUUCUUUUGGAGUUGUCAGCUUUUGGAGCCAUUGCAGAGCCCUCUACCAAAUUGCUUGGUAUAAUAAGUACAUAUCUGGUAUUGCAAAAUACUAUGUUCACUCAUUCAUAUUCCUGAAUAAAUGUGUAAUCAUGGGAUAAUUAUUUGGCUGUGUAUGUUAGAUUUCCUUUGGGGCAAUACCAAAUGUGAGAACCAAAGGGAGAGCAUCAGUAUGUGUUGCUAACAUUCUAAAUCAUUUGCAAAGAGAGGAGCCUGUUAACUCAAAUGAUGUAAAUGUUGAACUUGAAGGCAUGCCGUUCUCUCUUUCUUUUCAAUUUCCUUUAAAGAAUUUAUGAAAGGAUUGAUUUAUUCAUUUUAUUUCAGAUGGUUGUGUAAGAGAUAAAUACACCUAUUCUUAUGGAUAGGGAGUUCUUGUACUGAUUGUUAACAUCUAUGGCUAUUCAGCAUGUUGUAGUUCUUGUACGGAUUGUUAGAGUGGCUGCUUUUAUAUGGUGGACAAGACGUGAUAUAGAUCAAAGCAAUGUCUGUCUUUAUUAAAUCUUUCGCAUUUUCAACCUCAAA